AAAAAAAACAGCGUCAAUUGCUUUUGUAAAAACAACAAAGCUGGUUUUUAAAGGACAGAGCGGCCAACAGUGUCAGAGUGUGAUAGGGACAGGGUUGGGUUCAGUGGCUGUAGCAACAGGGAGGCAGUGAGUGAGCUAGUCGAGAAUAGUAGCUGUGUGGUGGUGGCAGGGGUGGCUCUGAGAGCGAGGGGGAAGUGAGGAAGUGGAGAGAGGGAGUUUGGACAACUAUUUCUGGAACUUUGGCCAGGAAGAGAAGGCAUGAGAUACAGCAAUGAGUGCCUGAAGGGAGGAAUGGGGAGGCAGAAAGAGAUGAGAACGACAGCAAGCUUGUGCUGCAGAUCUAGUCACAGAAGCUUCCAUCAACUCUGCUGGUCAAGUGGAGCAGUGGGAGUGGA